GGCCGUGUGGCCCAACGGAUAAGGCGUCGGACUUCGGAUCCGAAGAUUGCGGGUUCGAAUCCCGUCAUGGUCU